rnacentral:rRNA from 1 species
AGAAUACGGGAGGGAGGAACCAACAGGGAUUGCCUUAGUAACGGCGAGUGAAGCGGCAACAGCUCAAAUUUGAAAGCUGGCCCUUUCGGGGUCCGCGUUGUAAUUUGUAGAGGAUGAUUCGGCGAGGGCUCCCUCCUAAGUCCCCUGGAACGGGGCGUCAUAGAGGGUGAGAAUCCCGUAUGCGGUGGGUUGCCUUAGCCAUGUGAAUCUCCUUCGACGAGUCGAGUUGUUUGGGAAUGCAGCUCUAAAUGGGAGGUAAAUUUCUUCUAAAGCUAAAUACCGGCCAGAGACCGAUAGCGCACAAGUAGAGUGAUCGAAAGAUGAAAAGCACUUUGGAAAGAGAGUUAAAAAGUACGUGAAAUUGUUGAAAGGGAAGCGCUUGCAACCAGACUUGUCCGCAGUUGCUCAGCCGGUCUCCUGACCGGCGUACUCUUCUGCGGCCAGGCCAGCAUCAGUUCGGGCGGUCGGAUAAAGGCCUCGGGAAUGUAGCUCCUCUCGGGGAGUGUUAUAGCCCGGGGCGGAAUGCGGCCAGCCUGGACUGAGGAUCUCGCUUCGGCAAGGAUGCUGGCGUAAUGGUUGUAAGCGGCCCGUCUUGAAACACGGACCAAGGAGUCUAACAUCUAUGCGAGUGUUUGGGUGUCAAACCCAUACGCGUAAUGAAAGUGAACGGAGGUGGGAACCCGCAAGGGUGCACCAUCGGCCGAUCCUGAUGUCUUCGGAUGGAUUUGAGCAAGAGCAUAGCUGUUGGGACCCGAAAGAUGGUGAACUAUGCCUGAAUAGGGUGAAGCCAGAGGAAACUCUGGUGGAGGCUCGCAGCGGUUCUGACGUGCAAAUCGAUCGUCAAAUUUGGGUAUAGGGGGCGAAAAGACUAAUCGAACCAUUAAGAAAGGUGUUUUUCGUUUUUGACUACUAAGGGGGUUAAAAAGGUAGCUUCAAAGUGUCUAUUCUAAGUCCCCUCCAUUCGGGGGCGAACACUGGUCAAAAUUGGUUCGGGGGAACGUUCCUUUAAAAAGCGCAAGGCUUACCGCGGGCCCGGGGCCCAAAAAGGGCCCGGGGGCCACCCCCCAGGGGGUAAUGGAACCUCCGGGGUAUGGGGAAAAAAAACCCCCCUGCCGAAUUGGGAACAAAUCCCGCCAAACCCAAAAGCUUCCUAAAAUUUCCCGGGGGGAAAACCGGGGGGAAUACCGGGAAAAAAGGGUUCCCCCGGACCUAA